CUCACAACUGGCCGUAGCACAAGAGAACAAAUGGCUGUGGGGUAUUCAGCCCUAAGUGGGCUAUAUCACACUCUGUCCUUGCGCACGGCUCAGGGAACAUUGCAGAAGAAAGAACGUAACUAUUUUAAGAGCCAGAGAUCCAACGACCCUCAGGUCCUGCAUCAAUGGCGGCGCCUAUGGUGUGGACUUGACAAACUCUCUGUGACACUGCUGUGUGAAGAAUCCUCUAGAAACCACUGGCUCAGGCGGUCAGGCAUCAUCUCCUCUACUUCACUCUUGAAGACCUCCUUUCACUGUGUGUUUUAACCUAUGAGUUGCUUCGGACCUCUCAGAAGUCGGUCAGUGAUAAGUCUUAAAUAAAUAAAAAUAAUGUGUUUCUGAGCAGCUGUACGUGAGUGGAAUUUUCAGUAAAACAGCCACCGAUUAAGCAUCCAAGAGAAAAGCUCCCUUAGGACAGGAAGCCCAUGCAUCCUCUGGGAACGCAAGCUGGCGAACUCUUCAGCUUCAUCGUUUAGAAUUCGCAUCUCAUGUUUUCUUACCACAAGGUACUGUUGGACCAGAUGGUGGCCUGGAUCACAGACUUGGGGCUCUUUUCAAAUACUUGGUAAGAUGCGGUGGACCCUCAAUGGCCUUUAUUAAAGCUAAAUAAGUCGUCUCCUUCCUUACCUCUG